ACGGGUGAGUAACACGUAACCAAUCUACCUUUCCGUCCGGGAUAACUAGCCGAAAGGUUAGCUAAUACCUGAUACGACCAUCGAGCGGCAUCGUUUGAUGGUGAAAGCAGCAAUGCGCGGUUAGAGGAGGUUGCGGCCCAUUAGCCAGUUGGCGGGGUAACGGCCCACCAAAGCUACGAUGGGUAGCUGGUCUGAGAGGACGACCAGCCACACUGGGACUGAGAACGGCCCAG
rnacentral:rRNA from 1 species